AUGUGGCAGCAACAAAUCAAACAUCACCCCUUUACAAAUGUCUUCUUUUGCACCCAGGUAUCAAUGGCUGUAAUCAUAGGUGUGCUCACCCUAUACAUAUCAAUCCUUUCCAUGGCUCCCACAUGCAAGCUCCACAUUGGCAGAAUUAUGAAGAGGAUGGAAGAAACAUUAGCCUAUCGGACAGCAUCCAGCAUCUCAAUCACCUCAUCGAUCACCAGCCAAUCGUCACUGCAACGUAUGGCUCCUGAAGGGAUCCGAGGCAGUUUGGCCCAACCAUCCUCCAAAGCAAAUGCACCGAAAGCCUCAGUGACGCACCCAGGGACUCAGUAAUACCAGCCAGUUAAUUUCCUGCACUCUUCUGCAUGUGAUGCAGAGGAUUUCUGGAAUGAACCAAGUGACUGUCAGCAUUGUGCAAUUUGGUGACUGUUGGAUCCAUUGGGGAAACAUAGGGUACUUUGGGAAAUGCCACAGCCUCCUUGAAAGUAAUCCCCAAGAGUUUGCCUAUGGAUUCUUGUGCUGCUUAAAACCAUCUUUGAGCAGGUCACAGGAGGCAUGCAGAGGAGUCAUAGGAAGUGUUCCAGAAGCCAUUGGUUCCCUGUAAAAUUAUUGACUAUCUAGGGCAGGCAUGGGCAAACCCUGGUCCUCCAGGUGUUUUGGACUUCCACUCCCACAAUUCCUAAUAGCCAAAACACCUAGAGGCCCAAGUUUGCCCAUGCCUGAUCUAGGAGGUAACCUAUAAAAUCCACUGUUUUUAAACCACAGUCAGAAAUGAAAACUGCAUCUUUCUCUUUCUGUUCCAUUUACUGGUCCACUCACACUUGUGUGACUCAUCGAUAGUAAAGUAGUACAUGCAUUUCCUUUUCUUGCCUUGAUAUUUUUACACACUAUGUCCUGACACAGAAUUAUUCCAGACAGGACUGAAUGGGUAAGGUUAAUUUUUUUUAAAAAAAAUGUUACAUAUACCUCAUUAUGUGUCUGGUCCUGCAUAUCCUAUUACUGAGCUGGUUUGAGGUUUCAAACAUGCCUUUGUGUACACUGUUUAUGGCCAAAAAGAAGAAGAAAAAACUUUAUAUCUUCUUCCCAGCAAGUUUGCAAAGGUUUCUUGUUAAGAAUGCAUUUUUCUUUUUAAUUAUAUUCUUUUUAACCAUAUAUGUUCCUUUAAUUUUGUUUCUAAGUUUUAUUUAUUUAUUUAUUUAUUUAUUUAUUUAUUUUGCCUAGUAUUUGAGUCUAAUUCAAUAAAGCCUUCAGUUAUUGUGGAAUUCGUUUUGGGAAAGAGUAUCUCUAGUAACAGACUGGUUCAAAAUUGGAAAAGGAGUAUGGCAGGAUUGUAUACUCUCACCCUACCUAUUCAACUUGUAUGCAGAACACAUGAUGAAUCCAAAGCUGGAGUUAAAAUUGCUGGAAGAAACAUCAACAACCUUGGAUAUGCAAAUGAUACCACUUUAUUGAUUUAUUUAUUUACUAUACUUUUACCCCACCCUUCUCACCCCGGAGGGGACUCAGGGCAGCUUACAACAUGUAGUCCGAGUUAAACGGGCGGACCUCAGCUCGGUCAACCCGGAUCACUCGGAUUACCAGGUUUCCUCUCCCUUUGGCGGCCGCUUGGACCCAGGAAAGAGCGAAGUGUGCCGCUUCCCUGGGUCCAAGCGGCUGCCUAAGGGAUAUCAGAAGACAUU
ensembl:lncRNA